GGAGAAUUUGGAAGACUGAAACGUUUCGAUGUUUUGCUUGGUGUUUUUUGCGUGAUGAAGCAGGUAAGUUCGGGACGAGUUGGACGGUGUAGAAGGACGUUUGGUCGAGUUCCCGCGCGACACAAACGAGAUCUUCGUCUCGUUUUCUUUCC
rnacentral:tRNA from 1 species